AUUGAACGCUGGCGGCAGGCCUAACACAUGCAAGUCGAGCGAGAGGCGGAAGGGGGAGGAAUGUAUGGGGACUGCCCGAUAGAGGGGGAUAACUACUGGAAAAGGUAGCAAUAACAGCAUACGAUCGGAUAACCCAUAUGGGAGUAGCUAGUAGGUGAGGUAAUGGCGCACCUAGGCGACGAUCCCUAGCUGGUCUGAGAGGAUGAUCAGCCACACUGGGACUGAGACACGGCCCAGACUCCUACGGAGGCAGCAGUGGGGAAGAUUGCACAAUGGGCGCAAGCCUGAUGCAGCCAUGCCGCGUGUAUGAAGAAGGCCCUAGGGUUGUAAAGUACUUUCAGUCGGGAGGCGUUACCGACAGAAGAAGCACCGGCUAACUCCGUGCCAGCAGCCGCGGUAAUUC
rnacentral:rRNA from 1 species